rnacentral:rRNA from 1 species
CCUACGGGUGGCAGCAGUGAGGAAUAUUGGUCAAUGGGCUUACGCCUGAACCAGCCAAGUCGCGUGAGGGAAGACUGCCCUAUGGGUUGUAAACCUCUUUUGUCAGGGAGCAAUUGGCGCUACGUGUAGCGUUAUCGAGAGUACCUGAAGAAAAAGCAUCGGCUAACUCGGUGCCAGCAGCCGCGGUAAUACGGAGGAUGCGAGCGUUAUCCGGAUUGAUUGGGUUGAAGGGGUGCGUAGGCGGAAUGCCAAGUCAGCGGUAAAAUCGCGGGGCUCAACCUCGCUCCGCCGUUGAAACUGGCGUGCUUGAGUGGGCGAGAAGUAUGCGGAAUGCGUGGUGUAGCGGUGAAAUGCAUAGAUAUCACGCAGAACUCCGAUUGCGAAGGCAGCAUACCGGCGCCCAACUGACGCUGAGGCACGAAAGCGUGGGUAUCGAACAGGAUUAGAUACCCUAGUAGUC